rnacentral:rRNA from 1 species
GCCGCUCAGAAACUUAAAGGAAUUGACGGGGGCCCGCACAAGCGGUGGAGUAUGUGGUUUAAUUCGAUGCAACGCGAAGAACCUUACCUGAUCUUGACAUCCCAGAAAUCCCUUGGAAACUUGGGAGUGCUUCCAUUAGGAAGAAUCUGGAGACAGGUGCUGCAUGGCUGUCGUCAGCUCGUGUCGUGAGAUGUUGGGUUAAGUCCCGCAACGAGCGCAACCCUUGCCUUUAGUUGCCAGCAGUUCGGCUGGGCACUCUAAAGGGACUGCCGGUGUUAAACCGGAGGAAGGUGGGGAUGACGUCAAGUCCUCAUAGCCUUUAUGACCAGGGCUACACACGUACUACAAUGGCCGAUACAAAGGGCAGCGACAUCGCGAGGUGAAGCCAAUCCCAUAAAAUCGGUCUCAGUCCGGAUUGGAGUCUGCAACUCGACUCCAUGAAGUUGGAAUCGCUAGUAAUCGUGGAUCAGCAUGCCACGGUGAAUACGUUCCCGGGCCUU